rnacentral:lncRNA from 1 species
GCAGCCACCUUGAAUAUAUUCGUGUCUUUGUUGUGACCAUUACACCUUGAAUAUAUUUUUGUUUUUAUUUUAGAUAUUUGAUAAUUCAUGAAAAUACGAGACAACUAUUAUCCAGGGAAAGCAAUCUUUGUGUAGUCGAGAACAGAUUCCAACCAUAGAUAUCUGCACAUGAGAAGGUAGUCAUCAUUGACCAUAAAAAGAAAUAAAGAAUACAGGAAAAGGUAAAACUAGAAGAUCAAUGUAGCAGUAAGCAGUUUUUGAACUUAAAAAGGAAAGCAAGCACUGCACAACUACUGAUGUGGUGUGGCAAUAAGCAGUUUAGCAACAUCAUUUUUAUAACACACAAGUACCAACAAUUUCAAGGGAAAAAUCACAGAAAACAUAAUGUUACAUCACACUAUUAACCACAACUUCAUAGUACCAUACUCAAACAAUCAGGUAUAAAGGCCUAAUUAACUAAAAUAGUUUAUUUUCAGUGUUGAAUUAAGCUUAUGUUUUAGACAAGGCUGAUAUGUUGCAAUUCUUGACUAAAACAAUGCCAACUAUUAAAAAGUAUCAACCAAACCUAACAAACUUACAAAUAAUUUUACAUAAAGGUUAGUACAUAAAAAAUUACAUGUCAAUGUUUAAACACUUUUGUCCUAAUCUACCACAACUGACAAUAUUAAUAUACGACAUCACUAGGUACGGUACAAUUUGACAGUUACAGUUCAAAACAAACAAGAGGUCGGAUCAAGCAUAACUUACAUCUUAAAAUAUUACGCUACUACAGAUUGAUUGAGAUAUAUGUAGUGAAAACCAUCAUAGCUACAAGUAGUAACUCCCCACUAGACUAGCACUACUACAUCUUAAGAGAGUGCAGAGGCUCGCUCCUAUGGUGUGUCUUGAAUGAG